AUGUUCUGAAUUAGCAUUGAUGCCUUAACAAGGUUUGGCACAGUGGCAGGUGGGACGCCUCCUCGUGUCACAAUCUACUAGAUAAACGGCCAUGUAAUCAGAGUGUGCUUUCUCACUAAUUAACACCAUUGUUCGCUGGCAGAACCAGUCCCAUUACGCCUCAGAAUUGGUCUCUUUAUUUUCUCUCUACUCACUUCUCUGUAACCUUCCGUUUACCAAGCUGCAGUUCUACCACUCUCGCUCGGAAUGCUGGAAGCUGUAACCUAUCCAGAAGUGUAAUCCUUUUAGAUGCCCAUCUGAGGAGUUGUUCCUGGCAGACCCAUAAGCAUUGUGUGUCAACGUGCAAAAGCAUUCAUAGGUGGUGACAUCAUUCAGCAGAGCCAAGACAUCACCAGUGAAGCACACCCCAAACAAUCCACCACUGUCCCAACCUCCCCCUUGCUGAGAUGGUUUGUUCCCAGUCGCACAGAAGGAACAGAGGGAAGAACAAAGGGGGGACAUGGAAGAGGGGGGCUUUUUUCUCAGAAGGGGCAUUUUUCUCAGACUAGAACACGAGCUUAUCUCAGUGAGUUCUCCUUUUUUUUUUACUUGAUGGCCGCUGAUAAGGUGAUCAAAGAGAGGAACCCCUGGAGGGGCUUAGGCCACAGCAGCAUGGCCAGAGAAUUGCUUCCUGGUGAUUUGUAAGCAGGAAGAGACUUUUGACAUGAAAGACAGCUUAAACAGCAGCAUAGCCACAAUAAACCAGCUGUAAAAUGCU